CCAAUAGCGUAUAUUAAAGUUGUUGCAGUUAAAAAGCUCGUAGUUGAAUUUCAGGCCUGGCUGGACGGUCCGCCCUUCGGGUGAGUACUGUCUGUGGUCGGGUCCUACCUUCUGGCGAGGCGUCAUGGCCUUAACCGGCCGUGGCGGGGAACCAGGACUUUUACUGUGAAAAAAUUAGAGUGUUCAAAGCAGGCAAUCGCUUGGAUACAUUAGCAGGGAAUAAUGGAAUAGGACAAUGGUUCUAUUUGUUGGUUUCUAGGACCGUUGUAAUGAUUAAUAGGGAUAGUUGGGGGCAUUAGUAUUCAAUUGUCAGAGGUGAAAUUCUUGGAUUUAUUGAAGACUAACUACUGCGAAAGCAUUUGCCAAGGAUGUUUUCAUUAAUCAAGAGCGAUAGAGUGAGGAUCGAAGGCGAUCAGAUACCGCCCUAGUUCACUCUGUAAACGAUGCCAACCAGCGAUCGGCUCCUGUUCUUUCUUAGACGGGGCCGGCAGCUUCCG
rnacentral:misc_RNA from 1 species